AACGAACGCUGGCGGCGGGCUUAACACAUGCAAGUCGAACGGAAGGACCCUGCUUUUUUGGUCUGACCGGGUGCGGAAGGGGGGAGUAACACGUGAGUAACCUGCCCUAGACUUUGGGAUAACUUCACGUAAGUGGGGCUAAUCCCGUACAGGAUCCCCCGCUCCAGUGUGGGGGGUGGAAAGUUUGGGCGGGUGGGGAUGAACGGGCGGCUUACCGGCUUGUUGGUGGGGUGGUGGAUUACGAAGGCAUUGGAGGGUAGCCGGCCGUGGAGGGUGACCGGCGCCAUUGGGCCUGCGGUACGGCCCAGACUCAUACGGGAGGCAGUAGUGGGGAAUAUGGCACAGCGGGCGGACGCCUGAUACAGCAACGCCGCGUUCGGGAUGACGUCCUUCGGGUUGUAAACAGCUUCAGCCUGUGACGAAGCGUGAGUGACGGUAAUGGGUAAAGAAGCACCGGCUAACUACGUG
rnacentral:rRNA from 1 species